rnacentral:rRNA from 1 species
UGGGGAAUAUUGCACAAUGGGCGAAAGCCUGAUGCAGCAACGCCGCGUGAGUGAUGAAGGCCUUCGGGUUGUAAAGCUCUGUCUUUUGGGACGAUAAUGACGGUACCAAAGGAGGAAGCCACGGCUAACUACGUGCCAGCAGCCGCGGUAAUACGUAGGUGGCAAGCGUUGUCCGGAUUUACGGGCGUAAAGGAUGCGUAGGCGGAUUUUUAAGUGAGAUGUGAAAACCCUAAGCUUAACUUGGGGACUGCAUUUCAUACUGGAAAUCUAGAGUGCGGGAGAGGAGAAUGGAAUUCCUAGUGUAGCGGUGAAAUGCGUAGAGAUUAGGAAGAACACCAGUGGCGAAGGCGAUUCUCUGGACCGUAACUGACGCUGAGGCAUGAAAGCGUGGGUAGCAAACAGGAUUAGAUACCCUGGUAGUCCACGCCGUAAACGAUGAGUACUAGGUGUAGGAGGUAUCGACCCCCUUCUGUGCCGCAGUU